rnacentral:rRNA from 1 species
ACAUGCCGUAUUAAGGCGAAACCGCGAAUGGCUCAUUAAAUCAGUUAUGGUUCCUUGGAUCGUACCUUACUACUUGGAUAACUGUGGUAAUUCUAGAGCUAAUACAUGCAGCAGAGCUCCGACCUUCGGGGACGAGCGCUUUUAUUAGACCAAAACCAAUCGGACUCCGUCCGUCUCUCGUGGUGACUCUGAAUAACUUUGGGCUGAUCGCACGGGCCCGUCCCGGCGACGUAUCUUUCAAGUGUCUGCCUUAUCAACUGUCGAUGGUAGGUUACGCGCCUACCAUGGUCGUAACGGGUAACGGGGAAUCAGGGUUCGAUUCCGGAGAGGGAGCCUGAGAAACGGCUACCACAUCCAAGGAAGGCAGCAGGCGCGCAAAUUACCCACUCCCAGAACGGGGAGGUAGUGACGAAAAAUAACAAUACGGGACUCUUUUGAGACCCCGUAAUUGGAAUGAGUACACUCUAAAUCCUUUAACGAGGAUCCAUUGGAGGGCAAGUCUGGUGCCAGCCGCCGCGGUAACUCCAGCUCCAAUAGCGUAUAUUAAAGUUGUUGCGGUUAAAAAGCUCGUAGUUGGAUCUCAGUUCCAGACGGGUGGUCCGCCUACCGGUGGUUACUGCCUGUUCUGAACAGCCAGCCGGUUUCUCUUGAUGAUCUUCACCGGUUGUCUUGGGUGACCGGCAAGUUUACUUUGAAAAAAUUAGAGUGCUCAAAGCAGGCGCGACGCCUGAAUAAUGGUGCAUGGAAUAAUGGAAUAGGACCUCGGUUCUAUUUUGUUGGUUUUCGGAACACGAGGUAAUGAUUAAGAGGGACAGACGGGGGCAUUCGUAUUGCGACGCUAGAGGUGAAAUUCUUGGACCGUCGCAGGACGAACUACUGCGAAAGCAUUUGCCAAGAAUGUUUCCAUUAAUCAAGAACGAAAGUUAGAGGUUCGAAGGCGAUCAGAUACCGCCCUAGUUCUAACCAUAAACGAUGCCAGCCAGCGAUCCGGCUGUGUUCCUCAAAUGACACGCCGGGCAGCUUCCGGGAAACCAAAGCUUUUGGGUUCCGGGGGAAGUAUGGUUGCAAAGCUGAAACUUAAAGGAAUUGACGGAAGGGCACCACCAGGAAUGGAGCCUGCGGCUUAAUUUGACUCAACACGGGAAAACUCACCCGGCCCGGACACAGGAAGGAUUGACAGAUUAAGAGCUCUUUCUUGAUUCUGUGGGUGGUGGUGCAUGGCCGUUCUUAGUUGGUGGAGCGAUUUGUCUGGUUAAUUCCGAUAACGAACGAGACUCUAGCCUACUAAAUAGACGUUCCGAUCACUCUCGUCGGGCGU